GACGAACGCUGGCGGCGUGCUUAACACAUGCAAGUCGAACGGAAAGGCCCGGCGCUUGUGUGGUGCUCGAGAGGGGAACGGGUGAGUAACACGUGAGUAACCCGUCCCUGACUGAGGGAUAACUCUUGGAAACUGCGUCUCAUACCGGAGAGGAGCUCUUGCUGCGUGGGGUGGGUUGGUAAGAGUCGGCGGUUGGGGAUGGUCUCGCGGCUUAUCAGCUGGUUUGUGAGGUAGGGGCUUACCAGGGCUUUGACGGGUAGCCGGCCUGGGAGCGUGGCCGGCCACAUUGGGCCUGCGAUACGGACCAGUCUCCUACGGGAGGCAGUGGUCGGGAAUAUUGCGCAGUGGGCGGACGCCUGUUGUGGCAACGCCGCGUGCGUAAUGCCGGCUUUCGGGUUAUAAACCGCUUUCGCCUGUGCCGAAGCGUUCGUGACGGUACUGGGUAAAGAAGCACCGGCUAACUACGUG
rnacentral:rRNA from 1 species